rnacentral:rRNA from 1 species
AGAGCGAACGCUGGCGGCAGGCCUAACACAUGCAAGUCGAGCGCCCGUAGCAAUACGGGAGCGGCAGACGGGAUAGUAACACGUGGGAACGCGCCCUUCGGUUCGGAAUAACUCAGGGAAACUUGAGCUAAUACCGGAUACGCCCUUACGGGGAAGAUUUAUUGCCGAAGGAACGGCCCGCGUCCGAUUAGCUAGUUGGUAGGGUAACGGCCUACCAAGGCUACGAUCAGUAGCUGGUCUGAGAGGAUGACCAGCCACACUGGGACUGAGACACGGCCCAGACUCCUACGGGAGGCAGCAGUGGGGAAUAUUGGACAAUGGGCGAAAGCCUGAUCCAGCCAUGCCGCGUGAGUGAUGAAGGCCUUAGGGUUGUAAAGCUCUUUCGGUGGGACGAUAAUGACGGUACCCGCAGAAGAAGCCCCGGCUAACUUCGUGCCAGCAGCCGC